rnacentral:rRNA from 1 species
GAUGAACGCUGGCGGCGUGCCUAAUACAUGCAAGUCGAGCGAACGGACGAGAAGCUUGCUUCUCUGAUGUUAGCGGCGGACGGGUGAGUAACACGUGGAUAACCUACCUAUAAGACUGGGAUAACUUCGGGAAACCGCAGCUAAUACCGGAUAAUAUUUUGAACCGCAUGGUUCAAAAGUGAAUGACGGUCUUGCUGUCACUUAUAGAUGGAUCCGCGCUGCAUUAGCUAGUUGGUAAGGUAACGGCUUACCAAGGCAACGAUGCAUAGCCGACCUGAGAGGGUGAUCGGCCACACUGGAACUGAGACACGGUCCAGACUCCUACGGGAGGCAGCAGUAGGGAAUCUUCCGCAAUGGGCGAAAGCCUGACGGAGCAACGCCGCGUGAGUGAUGAAGGUCUUCGGAUCGUAAAACUCUGUUAUUAGGGAAGAACAUAUGUGUAAGUAACUGUGCACAUCUUGACGGUACCUAAUCAGAAAGCCACGGCUAACUACGUG